GGAGGGGACAGCUUAAGUGGUAGAGCACAUGCUCAGCAUGCAUGAGGUCCUGGGAUCAAUCCCCAGUACCUCCU
rfam:Camelus ferus unplaced genomic scaffold scaffold1144, whole genome shotgun sequence.